GCCAGCCUGGACGGUGCAGAAAGAAAAGCAAGUGAGGUCAGAGAGCCAGGAAUCCUCCAGGGAGAGCGUGAGGACUGUCUGUCCGAAGGGUCCCCCCCGAGAGGUCGCCCACACCUCCCCUCUCCAGGGAGGGCUCCCCAUGCCCGGCUGGAGGGGGGACCUCUGGGAGAGGUCUGAGUCUGACAACCACCUGCUGGAAGCUUCUCUCCAGGCCCGUCCUCUCUGGGUGAUUGAAACAUGGCCCCUGGAGCCGGACAGCCCAGGCGUGAAAGCGAGCUCUGCCACUUCCUGCUCCGGGACUUAGAUCAGAUAAUUGAACCCCUCUCCAGCUUCGUUUCUGCACUUGCAAAAUGAGGAUCAAAUAACACCUGCUUUGCAGGGUUGUUGGGAAUUGUGAGAUGAUAUUUGAAUAAUAUGUAGCAGAGUGGCUGGUCUGGGCUAAGUCCAUACACAUGGGGGCUGGAGAGUCAGUCCAGUUAGUCAAUCCUUUCCCCUAAUUUAUGUUCAUUUGCUCUUAUUCUAGGCUUGAGCGUUAAAAUAAAUAGUUGGCAAAAAAAAAAUAGCAGAGACUUCCUCUGAUUUAGAACUUAAGGGGCCCUGAUGGCUCAGUGUCUGGUGUAGCACACCAUCUAACUGGAGUAGAACAUUCUGGAACAGGAUGGCUGGCCUUCCUAGUCCCUCUGCGUUGGACUAUCCAGGACUCUGUCGGGAGGCCUGGAAGUCCGGUCCACCUGAGCCCUGCUCUUGACCCUAAUGUAUCCAAGAGGCGUUACAGAUGUCCAGGACCCAGAGCCAUGCAGGCCCCCGGCGCCAUGGAAAGAGAAGCAAGCUCUGAACCGUGAAGCUCACAUCUUGAGCCCACUGACCCGGCCGGGGCCUCCACCCCACUGUCCCUUUGCAGGGAAGGAUCUGCCUCGCGCUAAGUGGACGCCUCUCCUGCCAUGGGGUAUGUGCCGUCCAGUCGGUGGCUGAAACCCCCAGAAGCUCUCCCUGCCUCUCUCCUGACGUUUGGGGCCAAAGCCUCCCAAAUACCAGACUCCUUUCUAAAGUAUGCGAUGCACCUCCAUAUUCUCAUGCAAGGUUAUGUGACAGCAGGGGGCAGGGGUGCGGGUCACCUGGAAGUCUCAUGCCCCGAUGGAGCGGAAAUCGGCACAUCUGGUUUGGCAGUCUGGUAGUAGUUACAGAAGAUAAAUGUGUGAGGACUCCGCGGCCCGGCAAUUCCGCCCCCGGGGGUGUGCCCAGGGCAGAUGAGAGCACAGGUCCGCCAAAGACACCGCAGUCACCGUAGCUCUGCUCCCAGCAGCCUCAAACUGGAGACAACCCCGAUGUCCACCUGCAAAAGAAUGGACAAUCGCGGUGUAGUCAUACGACGGAAUGCUAUCUGGCAACGCACAUGCGCGAACUGCUCCGUGCGGCAACACCGGUCAUGUUAUUAUCCUACAGAUGUCUAAAGAGCCAAGUAAGCCCCUGGUGUGCUGGUCGUAAGUAAGAAAUCAAUCACGCCUCGGGAGUAGACCUCUGUUGGACUAUUUCACAGGACUUCCUUCCAGCAGCCCCAUUAGGGGUCACGGCAACUAGGACCCCAAGGCGAAGCUCAAAAACGUAAAGUUAGCCGACCUGAAUCCAGUCAGGAAAAAUGCCGAGUAUUAGAUGCACACAGGGAAACUCGUGAAGCUCAGACACGUGAUUUGGGGGAGACUGGCCGAGAGCAACCUGCUACGACCGCUGAACCCACCCGGGGCUGCCAUCCUAGCCGAUCGAGGCCCCCCCCACCCCGCCGCGAAGUGAAAAGAAUUCCCUUUGGCAGAAAUUACAGACAUAAAACGCUGUCUGAAGGCUUGCUCUCUCCUUCUGUGUCCGCCCUAAGCAUUACGCACUUGGCCCCGGGCAGCAGGCCUACCUCUUCCUCCAUCGCUAAGGUACAAAUUUAACUUUAUGAAAGAGGCCUGUUGAGUAUUCUGAGAAUUGUUGGGAGACCUCAGCUCAACUAGGACUUUCCUGAAUAUUUCCCUGGUAGUAAUGAACAUAUAUUUUUUCUCUCUCAAAAGAGUGAUAAAAUGUGACCCAUGCUCAUUAAAGAAAAAAUUCUAAACAAGAACAUUUACUUUUGAAGUAAAGUAAGUUAUUCACUGUUCUUCCCUUACCCACCCCUAUGAAAAACAAGCUAACAAUGAACAGAAACAUUUGUAUGAAUGUUAUUUCUUUUUCUAUCUUAGAUCUACCUACCUACCUAGCUAUCAUCUGUCUAUCAUCUACCAUCCAUCCAUCCAUCCAACCAUCAUUUAGAUUGGAGAGCAGACAUCUGUCAUUUUGCCUGCUCUGCAUCCUAUUGGUCCUGAUAGGAGUUAAUCACAGGGUCUCACCCUCCCCAGGGAGGUUGGCACACAAACCAGGCUGGCCAAUCAGAGUUAUUCACCAUGCUGGCCACAGUGAUUGGCUGAUGGAUCGACUUGUGACCCAAGCAAAGCCAGUUAGGGUCUGCCCUGAGAUUUGCCACAUCUGUGCUCUGAUAGAGCACUUUUUCUUUGGCGUCCACAAACCAUGAUGCUGGAGGCCUGAGGUUAUUAGCAACAUCUUUCCAACUGUGUGAAAUGAUCCAGGUCACAGAGGAAAGCAUAACCAGAGAUGGACAAAGGGACAGAGCCCUGAGGAUAGCAGUUGAUCUACUGGAUCCAACCAUGCCUGAAGCCUGAUCUACAUGUAAACUUCCCAGAUGUGAGACUUCAGCCCAGGUUCAUCGUUUCGCCUCUGGAUGUCCAGUUGCUCCAGCACUGUUUGUUGAAAAGUCUAUCUUUCCCCCAUUGAACUGCUUUUGUACUUUUGUCAAAAAUGGGUCAUGCAUAUUUGUGUGAGUAUAUUCCUGGCUCCUCUAUUCUGUUCCACUGAUCUAUGUGUCUAUCCCUCUACCAAUAACACACAGUCUUGAUUGUUGUGUUUUUUAGAAAGGUUCCUGGUGUGUAGUAGAUGUCAAGGAAUGGUAAUUAUUAUUCAUUCAUUCAUCAAAUAUAUAUAAACAUUACUGCUAAUAUAACUGCUAAUAUUCUUUCUAUUUAAUUUGCAGAAAAAUGCAACGUAUCUAGAGGCCAAAAUUUUAGGAAUCCGAGGUUCUCUGAGUCCUAGAAAUGACUACCAAAAAGUCUCUACAUUUAAAGAACCAAAAAGUGUGCACGUAGAAUUUAAUUUACAGAAAAAUGGAUUCCAAAUGGUAGGAUCCGACCCGCUAAUACUCAGGAAAAGUAUCCGGGAGUUACUGGAGCAGUAUUUCCCAAAGUAUAUCCCUCGGUACAUGAGUCUUUCAAGAUGCUUCUCAAAAAAAGAGUUUAUUGUCAAAAUGAUGGAGAAAUAUUAUACACAAUUGUAUUGUUUUAAGGGAUUCACAAUGUGUAUUACCACACUGAAGCAUCUAAAAAGUCCUGCAGUAAAAUACAUCUGUGUAACUUGCUUUAAGCUAAGGCUUCCCAAACUUAAUUUAUUCAUAGAAACCACAUUUCUCCCCAACACAGUGGCGUCCCAUGAAUCGCUCCCAGAAGCGUGUUUUGAAAAACACUAUCAUAGAGUAUUGUCAGCAAGUCCACAGAAUGUUAGGAGUCAGGGUUUUGUAAACCAGCAGUGUUCAAAGUGUGGCCUGAGGACCCAGUGGAUCUGUAAGGCUCUUUCGGGGAGAUCAAGAGAUCAGCCUGUUUUCCUAGCAAUUCUAAGAUGUGAUUUGCCUUUUUCACGCUCAUUCCGCUGCAAGCAUACGGUGGCCUUUCCCAGAGGGUAGGUGACAUGUGAUAUCACAAGGGGCUGAGUGGAGAAGCAGAUGGGAGAACCCAGCUGUCUCUUAUUAAACUAGAAGUUAAGCAGAUUUAGCAAAAAAUGUAAAACAAUGUCACUCUUCUCGUUCAAUGUCUUCUUCUGGAAAAGGUAGUGGGUUUUUUUUUUUUCCAUCAGAAGAUGUGUAUGUCUGCCGUGGGUUUAUUAUUGUUAUUUUAAAACAAGUAUGUUUUAAAAUAUGUUUAAAAUAUGUUUUAAAAUGAAGGUGAAAUUUGUUUUAAUUUUCAUGCUGUAAAUAUCGAUAGACAUGACGACCUAAACAAAGCUCGUUGAGGGUCCUCAAUCAUUUUUAAGAGUGUAAAGGGGUUGUGAAAAUGGGGAAAACGCUCUCGUUUCCCUUUACGGUACUCAGAAGUGUGCACUAACACUCCUGACACCAGAUAGGAAGGUUUUCCACAAACCAAGCAAUUCUUCGAUGCCCGCGGGCUGUCCGACGCUAACUGCACUCAGCGCAGACUCACGGGCUCCGGACCGUUCCCCUAAGGCUGAGGCCCCUCCCCCCGCUUCAGGUCCAGUGACAAGUCCUGCUUGUCACCCGUGCUUCUGACUGACGGGUGUAGAUCAGGGUGCCUGCGCCCUGUCCUUGGGCGCAGUGAUUUGCUGGUAUUUGCUCACAGAGCUCAGGGAACUGAGCUUUCCUCACUAGAUCGCCAGCUCAUUAUGCAGGGACACAACUCGGGAACAGCCGCGGAAGAGACAGUGGGGCAGUCCCCGGGGGAGGUGCCGGGGACUCCAAGCCCCUCCAGGUGUGUCACGCUCACAGCACCUCCACGUGUCAGGAACUCAGAAGCGCUCUGGACCCUGUGCCUUGGGGGGUUUUUACGGAGGCUUCAUCACGUAGGCACGACCGAUUACUCACUCUCCCGAGAACAGACGGGGGCGCUGAAAGUUCCAAGCUUCUAGUCAUGGCUCGGUCUUCCUAGGGGGCAGCCGGCACCCAGGAGGCCACCAGGAGUUGGCUCGUUAGAACAAAAGACGCUCCCCUCACCCUGGAAAUUCCACGGGUUUGGGCGCUCCAUGUCAGACCAGCCGAUCAUUCAGGAAAUGAAAGAUUUUAGGAGACCUGGGGCAGGAACCGGGGCAGAGACCUAUAUAUAUAUAUAUACAUUUUUGUUUUCUUAUUAUUCCAUAGGACAUGAGACCCAAAAGUUUUAAAACUGCUAUUCUAAAUAAAUCCCUUCCGGGGAAAAUGAAGCCCCAAGGGGCUGGGGCUUGGACUGGAGUGCAUCGUUCGAACUGAACCCGGAUCUUAGGAUCUCUGGUCCAGAGUCUUACUAUAACCCCACCCUGCCUAGCACCCCACUGAGAGUGGAACAACCAACCAGCCAGCCCAAGAUAUCUGACGUGGAGGAGACAAGGGAAUCCCAAGAGAGAACUGUGAUCCUACACUCCACACAGCACCCUCGUGCUCGAGCGCAGAAGGCGUCGCAGGGGUGCGGGCUGAGCGCAGACAGGGCCACAGAGGGAGGGCGGCGCAGGGCAAGGCCACGCACGCGACGAGCCUGGAGAAGGAUCGCGGGCAGAACGUCCGGCAGCAAGUCAGAAGUCCGACCCAGGUGUCACUGAACUCAAGUCAGGGUGUCAGCAGGGCUGGUUCCUUCUGCAGCCUCCAGAGGAGCGUCUGCUUCCUGGCCUUCCCCAGCUUCUAGAGGACACCACAUUCCUUGACCCGUGGCCCCUUCCUCCACCUUCAGCGUCUCUGACUCCGCUGCUGUCCUCACAUCUUUCUCUGGCCACAACCGGAAAAGCUUCUCCUCUUUGAAAGACUCACCUGAUUAGACUGGGCGCACCUCGAUAAUCCAGGGUCCUCUCGCCAUCCUGAGGGCUUUCACCUAAUCACAUCUGCAAAGUCCUUUUUGCCACGUAAGGUGACAUAGUCACAGGAUCCAGAAUUAGGAUAUGAACAUCUGGGGGGGGGGGGCAUUAUUCUGCCCCAAACUGGCCCAGCUCCGGUGGCCCCCGUGACUUUCAAAGCACCCUCUCCACCUUCCGGGCUGACUUGGCCCAUGGGCCUCUGUAGGUCUUCCUCUCCACAGCUUCCAGCACCCUGGAUUGUAACGGCUUGUUGAUUUGUCAUUUUCCUGCAAUAAAUGUCAAGUACCAUGACGGCAGGGACAGGGUCUCUCUUGUCCACUGAUAUAUCCUAGCAACU